AUUGAACGCUGGCGGCAGGCUUAACACAUGCAAGUCGAGCGAGCGGCGGACGGGUGAGUAAUGUCUGGGAAACUGCCUGAUGGAGGGGGAUAACUACUGGAAACGGUAGCUAAUACCGCAUACCAUCAGAUGUGCCCAGAUGGGAUUAGCUAGUAGGUGGGGUAAUGGCUCACCUAGGCGACGAUCCCUAGCUGGUCUGAGAGGAUGACCAGCAACACUGGAACUGAGACACGGACCAGACUCCUACGUGAGGCAGCAGUGGGGAAGAGUGCACAAUGGGCGCAAGCCUGAUGCAGCCAUGCCGCGGGUAUGAAGAAGGCCUUCGGGUUGUAAAGCACUUUCAGCGGGGAGGCGUUACUCGCAGAAGAAGCACCGGCUAACUCCGUGCCAGCAGCCGCGGUAAUUC
rnacentral:rRNA from 1 species